rnacentral:sRNA from 20 species
GUCAGCACCCCGCUCUAAAGAGACGGGGCAUCAUGCUUCUCUUUUUAGGUAGCUGACCAGCCUAAGUCCCUUGAGGACUACGUUAUCGGUGAAAAAAAACUGUAAACUUUAGGGGUAAUUGAUCAAUUACCCCUACAACACUGGUU